AAUAGUAAAAAAAUCCUUACUAUUUGAAUGCUUAAAUUACUAUUCAAAUGUGACUUUUUUUAUAAGUAUGUUUGCUAACGUUAGCUAAUCUCCCUCUUCUUGCCUUGGCCUACAUGCAUGUGUCACUCAUGUCAGGUCUUAUGAACAAUAAGUUAGCGGGAGUGAGAAACACAAGGCAUUGUGAGGUCUAAGCUAACGUUGCGUACUGAGUAACAUUAGUACAACAUUACAGAGCUAACGUUACGUCCCGAGUAAAGUUAGUACAAGGGGGAGUGACAGGCUGCAGCUGGAAAUUGUAAGAAGAAAAGGAAAUAGUUUUAACAUGACUUUAAAAUCAACAUCCACCUAGCCAACGUGCUUACAGUAUGUUAACAUCAGUUAGCUCGUUCUUGUUUUCUAACUGCGUCGCAAAGUAUAGUUAUGUUAGCUUACCUGAGAGCUUAAUGUAGACAGCUAAAGUUUAUGUUAGCUGCCCAACAGCUGUCAGAGUUAGCUUUAUCUUCAUAUAUUACCUUCUAAUAGCUGUAAUCUCAGUAACGUGACAA